rnacentral:rRNA from 1 species
UGGGGAAUAUUGCACAAUGGGGGGAACCCUGAUGCAGCGACGCCGCGUGAAGGAAGAAGGUAUUCGUAUUGUAAACUUCUGUCGCAGAUGACGAAAAGAUGACGGUAAUCUGUAAGAAAGCACCGGCUAACUACGUGCCAGCAGCCGCGGUAAAACGUAGGGUGCUAGCGUUGUCCGGAAUUACUGGGUGUAAAGGGAGCGCAGGUGGCAGUGCAAGUUGGAUGUAAAAUCUACGGGCUCAACCCGUAUAAGCAUUCAAAACUGUGCAGCUUGAGUGAAGUAGAGGUAGGUGGAAUUUCCGGUGUAGCGGUGAAA